AGCGAAGGGGUGGGGUGGGAUCUUGGUCCAGCUGGUACUGGAGCGGCGACAAUUUUGGCUAGUCUAAGAAGGGCAUUCGAGUGACCGUUGACAACGGGUGGGACAGCGUCAGAGCUGGAGGGAGAGCCAGCACUGUAUGCUUCCAGGACUUCUUGCUAGGUGCAUUAGUUUUUAUUUUUAAGAGUUGGGUAAAAGACAUUAAUUAGUUAGCAUCUCACUCAUCGGCGAUUUUCUACGGUAUGAUUUCAUCCAAAGAGGAUUUCUUAAUCGCACUGUGUGACACCGUUAGGGGACUUAGAGUGUCACUCGCCGCCUUAAAUCCUUUCGGGAACAAGCCAGGAUAUAAAUAAAUAAAGCUAGGUGUGGGUCUUCCCUUCACAAGGCGCUGGUAGGCAGACUAAAGACAGGCAACAGCUGAGUGUGCACACAGAACUAAAUAUUGAACGAAAUACGAGUGUCGGAAUAAAAUUCAUUGCCAUGUGCACGGCUUAUGAUUAUACAGAUCUUGGACAUAUCACGGACCUGAACGUCAACCCUGCAACACCGGAUAAAACAUCUAAUGUAGCUGGAAUAGACUCUGAAAGGACGUUAGGCAUUAUCUAAAUCAAGUCCCUCAUUUUACAGAUGAGUAAACUGACUCAGUGAAGUAUUUUGCUCAAGGUCGUUCAUCAAAUUAGUAGUUUAAUUAACUCAGUGUUCUAGGAAGCAGGGUAGUAGAAAAGCAUGGGAUUCGGAGUCUGAAAUCUUCCUUGGUUUCUGGUCCUUGUAGGCUGUUUUACAAGUGUAUCUUGGGCAAAUCCCUUAACGUCUUGCCAUUUAUUAAGGGCUUACUUACCACGUGGCAAACAAUCCACUUUGCAUGCUGUGUCAAUUACAUGCAGUAUGUCGUGUAGUUAUUACUGUCCCCAUUUUAUGAGGUAGUUUAGGUUUAAAGAUAUUAGAAAUUUACCCAAAGUUACGCAGUUAUAAACAUUGUAGUAAUUUCAAACUCAGGUCUUCGUGACUGCAAAGGCUGCUGUCUUAAGUAUUGUAAUACAUUAGAGCUCCGGAUUCCCUCCCACUCAAAACAGAGACUGAGACUCCAACCAAUUUCCACCAUUAUUGGGAGUCAAACGAGAGAGACUGUGGCAAUGUAUUCUAAGCUGUACAAAGGUAUAAACAUAUUCACUAGAUUUGUAGAAUGAAGUUAUUCCUUCCCUAUACUUUCCACUACAACAAUUCAGCCAAAAAGAUGGCUUUCAUACUAAGCAUAAGAAGGAACUUCACUGUAAUUAUGAUAUUCUAACCAAGAAUAUAUGCAUAUCUAGGCAAUAACCAAAGUGAAUAGAAUAAAAUUUAAUUCCUGAUAGAUUAAAUAGGCAAUAGCAAGGAAUGCUAACGCUCCUCAUAGCGUUCUUGUUGGAAGAAUCAUCUAGGAGGCAUUGGGAUUUCUGGUGCUUUUUAAGCAAUGAGAGAUAUCAGUCCACUGAAUGAGGAAGAGAAUAACGUUUAGUUUCGGACUAAAAGUUCAUCUGGACUACGGAAAACACGUUUGCCUCAAUCAGUGAAGAAGGUAUGCUGAGAGCUGAAAGAAAAGGAAAGCAGCAACAGUGAGAGCUCAGAAAUUCCCAGACUGUUUUGAUGAUAAGGUCCAAGAACUUGCCAUGUGAUCCAUCACUACUAGACUCCCACAACUGCAUUAGAUUUGUUCAGGAUUUUCAUAUAAUUUUCAUAACUGGCUAAGGGUAACUUGGUCACAAAAAAUGAAACAUUGUUGUAAGAAUGUAUCAAGGAAAGUGGAGCGAAAGGCCAGUAGGAAAACCAAGACUCUCUGGAGAAGUCAACAGUUCUGAAAUAACCCAUCUUGAAGACAUAAACAAUGUGCAUUGAUGGCUAGCCAGACUCUGUCCUGCCACAGUUCUCCUCCUACUCUUCAUUUCUUACCCCAAGGAGUAGUAAACAUGAAUCCUGACCCACCAAUGCAGUCCCAGAACUGAGAAAAGAUUCACUGCAGCUAAACACAUUGGAAAUGGAUGGGGAGAAGGCCUGAUGAAAAUUACUGAGGAAGCCUCUUAGCCUAUGUGCUCUGAGAGUAGUGACACCUAGCAGUCGUUCAAAAGAUGAUCAAGAGGAGCAUGAAAAAAUCCCCUGAAUCCAUUGGCUUUCUUCCCUAUACUGACAACAGUUUACUUGUGUAAGAGAUGCAUGCCUCGACUCCGGACCCCUUCUUUCAUCUGCAAAAUCAGCAGCACCCUCACAUCAUCUCCUGUAACAAACUCUCUCUGUCUCCUCCAUAUAAGGUCACUGAUGGUUACAUUUAGGGUCCAUGAUAUAAGAAGAUGGAUGUCUAUUGCUUUUCUCUUGAUAUUCAUGGCACUGCUCCUCUCCAUCCAUAGGAUUAUCUUAUAGAUGAGGGUCUCAUCCUUUUGCCCAGGCUGGAGUACAG
rnacentral:lncRNA from 1 species